GCCUUCCCGGGCGGAAACGCCCGGGCCUCAUUGAAGC
rfam:Azospirillum lipoferum 4B main chromosome, complete genome